CGAAUGCUGACAUAAGUAACGAUAAAGCGGGUGAAAAGCCCGCUCGCCGGAAGACCAAGGGUUCCUGUCCAACGUUAAUCGGGGCAGGGUGAGUCGACCCCUAAGGCGAGGCCGAAAGGCGUAGUCGAUGGGAAACAGGUUAAUAUUCCUGUACUUGGUGUUACUGCGAAGGGGGGACGGAGAAGGCUAUGUUGGCCGGGCGACGGUUGUCCCGGUUUAAGCGUGUAGGCUGGUUUUCCAGGCAAAUCCGGAAAAUCAAGGCUGAGGCGUGAUGACGAGGCACUACGGUGCUGAAGCAACAAAUGCCCUGCUUCCAGGAAAAGCCUCUAAGCAUCAGGUAACAUCAAAUCGUACCCCAAACCGACACAGGUGGUCAGGUAGAGAAUACCAAGGCGCUUGAGAGAACUCGGGUGAAGGAACUAGGCAAAAUGGUGCCGUAACUUCGGGAGAAGGCACGCUGAUAUGUAGGUGAAGCGACUUGCUCGUGGAGCUGAAAUCAGUCGAAGAUACCAGCUGGCUGCAACUGUUUAUUAAAAACACAGCACUGUGCAAACACGAAAGUGGACGUAUACGGUGUGACGCCUGCCCGGUGCCGGAAGGUUAAUUGAUGGGGUUAGCGCAAGCGAAGCUCUUGAUCGAAGCCCCGGUAAACGGCGGCCGUAACUAUAACGGUCCUAAGGUAGCGAAAUUCCUUGUCGGGUAAGUUCCGACCUGCACGAAUGGCGUAAUGAUGGCCAGGCUGUCUCCACCCGAGACUCAGUGAAAUUGAACUCGCUGUGAAGAUGCAGUGUACCCGCGGCAAGACGGAAAGACCCCGUGAACCUUUACUAUAGCUUGACACUGAACAUUGAGCCUUGAUGUGUAGGAUAGGUGGGAGGCUUUGAAGUGUGGACGCCAGUCUGCAUGGAGCCGACCUUGAAAUACCACCCUUUAAUGUUUGAUGUUCUAACGUUGACCCGUGAUCCGGGUUGCGGACAGUGUCUGGUGGGUAGUUUGACUGGGGCGGUCUCCUCCUAAAGAGUAACGGAGGAGCACGAAGGUUGGCUAAUCCUGGUCGGACAUCAGGAGGUUAGUGCAAUGGCAUAAGCCAGCUUGACUGCGAGCGUGACGGCGCGAGCAGGUGCGAAAGCAGGUCAUAGUGAUCCGGUGGUUCUGAAUGGAAGGGCCAUCGCUCAACGGAUAAAAGGUACUCCGGGGAUAACAGGCUGAUACCGCCCAAGAGUUCAUAUCGACGGCGGUGUUUGGCACCUCGAUGUCGGCUCAUCACAUCCUGGGGCUGAAGUAGGUCCCAAGGGUAUGGCUGUUCGCCAUUUAAAGUGGUACGCGAGCUGGGUUUAGAACGUCGUGAGACAGUUCGGUCCCUAUCUGCCGUGGGCGCUGGAGAACUGAGGGGGGCUGCUCCUAGUACGAGAGGACCGGAGUGGACGCAUCACUGGUGUUCGGGUUGUCAUGCCAAUGGCACUGCCCGGUAGCUAAAUGCGGAAGAGAUAAGUGCUGAAAGCAUCUAAGCACGAAACUUGCCCCGAGAUGAGUUCUCCCUGACUCCUUGAGAGUCCUGAAGGAACGUUGAAGACGACGACGUUGAUAGGCCGGGUGUGUAAGCGCAGCGAUGCGUUGAGCUAACCGGUACUAAUGAACCGUGAGGCUUAACCUUACAACGCCGAAGGUGUUU
rnacentral:rRNA from 1 species